GUAUAGCCUACAGUCGAAAGUCAUAUGAUAAAUUCUUCGUAACGAAACUCAGUCCUAACAACCAAAUGGUUAAAAGAAGAUCUAAACUUUUCGAAAAUUGACCGAGUUCAAUACGCUCCACAAUUCACUUUAAGCCCACAACGUUUUACCCAUAAUACGCGGCAUGUAAGGAAAGAUUCGUAACAAAGCUUCUAGAGCUAUACGAAACUUCCUUAAAAAUGCACGAAAUAGAUCUCGGAAAGCCA
rnacentral:lncRNA from 1 species